GGGGGAUAUCGCGGCGGAAUAAGGAAACCGAGGCACGCAGACACCCCCGCCCCCGGGGGGAGAUUGCAACAAGGGCUCUUGAGCUGACUGCAAGGUGAAGCUUCCAUACAUUGCACAAAAGAUUCCCUCUUCAAUGAGAGAACAAGAGAGGUGUCUAGGAGCUGGGAAGUUGUGAUCUCCCCGGCUCAGGAGGGAACCAAGCCGAGGCUGAGCAAAUCUGAGAUGGAAACUCAUGCUCUCCACUUCCUGAAAGCAGUCUGCCCCUGAGCCCCCUUGGAGUCUACCCCGGAUGGAUGGGAUGAAGGAAGCCAGAGGUAUCAGCCUGUCACUGUUCUUUGUCACAGAUCUCAAGGUCUACUCUCACCAAUGCUUUCUAUAAUCGCC
rnacentral:lncRNA from 1 species